UCAGAGAGGUGAAGUCACUUCCUCACAGGCACACAGCUCAUAGGCUGAGAAGUCGACGCUGGAAGGACUGAGGCUUCCAUCCCGCCCAUCCCUCUUUGCUGUUUGCCUACCAAGUGUCUAGGAUUGUGGAGACAGAAGGAGCAUCAAACUUUCUUCCAUGAGUUUAAGAUUUGACAGGCAAGAAAUGCAAUUCAAUCCUCUCAGUGACUGAUGGUUCUGCAAGAUUAAUGGGAUGGUCUCCAAUCCUGGACUCUGUUCUGACAGCACAAAAAGUGAAUCAAACUUCUCCCCUCUCCUCUUACUAAUCAAGCUAUAAAGUUUGGGCAGGUAACCUGACUUCUCUUUGAGCCUCAGCUAUAAAAGUGGGACACGACAGACGUCCUCCUUCAUAGAACUUGGAUGAGGAUUCAGAGAUAAUGAAGGAGGACAAAGCCUUUCAUCUGCCAAUUACUGAUAAAGGGAAAAUGCAAAUAUCGCUGGGGAAGGUGAUCCAUCAAGGGCCCAACAUUUAUUGAGUGACCACUUAGGACCAGGCGGCAGGGACCCUCCCGGGCCAUGCGCCCUCCUUUGAACAUGUUUAUUUAAUUAUGUGGGAGAAGUAAAUAUGGUCAGUAUCUGAAAAAGAAGCAUGUGAUGUCCUAACCAGGCUCUGGUUUGAGUCCCAGCAACCCACCUUAUAAGCUGUGUGAUCUUGGGUGAGUGGCUUUGCCUUUCUGAGUUAUAGUUUCCUCGUUUGCAAAAUGAGGAAUAGCAAGACUAUUUCCCUUAAAG